CUUUAAAUCUCCAACGGGCAUAUAAAUACAGAUAGUGAGAUACAGACUACAGAGGAUCCUUCCUUCCACUAGGGUUUGUGCCGAUGCCCUUUCCUCACCUAAAGAAAGCAACGCCCUAGAAGGCUAGAACCCAGAAAACCUCCACUUUUUUUCGCCUCAGCAACGCCGCAGAAGAACGAGGCUCGCUUCCUUAACUCCAAUUUUCUGCCCAUCGAAUUUCUUGGGAUUUGAAAGUUUGAAGCAAUGAUUCACAAAUUUCCUGAGGAAAUCAUACAUGAUAUCCUGUUUAGAUUACCUCCUAAAACGUUGAUCAGAUGCACCCCAGUGUGCAAGCCAUGGAACUCCAUGAUAAAAAAUCCCAGCUUCAUACGAACCCACCUCAACCGUACAAUCAAUCUUAAUAACCAGUUUGGCACCCACCUCCGCCUACUCCACUGUGUUCCUGGAGAUAUUCUUUCCAGCAACGUCAAUAUUAGCGUAGACGAGCCAAGGGAGGAGCAGUUCUAUUUGCAUUAUGACAACCAUGCUUUUGAUGAGUACUGCAAGCUGGAAUUUCCAAUUUUUCCCAGGGAAGAAAUGCACAAUAAAUUUCUUCGGGUGGUCGGCAUUUGUAAUGGACUGGUGUUCCUUGCUGAUGAUAAGGAUUGUUUAGGUUAUACCUUCAUGUUAUGCAACCCGUCUAUGAGAAAGUCAGUGACCCUACCUAAGCCUCAUCUUACCUUCAACACAAUUGGCCCUUAUUAUGCUUGUAUUGGUUUUGGUUUUGAAGCUGUGACUAAUGACUACAAGGUUGUCAGACUUAUCACUGAUCAAUGUGAGGAUCCAAAUACUUUUUAUGAGGUUUAUUCACUUGCUGGUGGCUCAUGGAGUGAGCCUCGUUCUUUGGAUCACGUAUGUGAAGUUACAGAUCCUCGUAAACCCCAAGCUUUUGUUAAUGGAGCCAUUCAUUGGGAGGCAUGUCGCCGUUUGAAAAUGGUGAUUAUGAAGAUUUCAUUUUGGCAUAUGACUUGGGCAGCGAUUCAUUUCGUGGGAUAAUGGCACCAAAGAGUUUCCGUAGCUCAUGGACCACGCAGUUGUCUGUUUACGGGAAAUCCAUUGCUUUGUUUCAGCCUUAUUUGACUAAUACCGAAAAGCUUUGUCUUGAUAUAUGGGUGAUGAAAGAAUAUGGCAAGGAAGAGUCAUGGACCAAAUUGACAACUCUAAGUCCAUCAGGUCCACAAAGAGGAGUUCGCUACAGGCCAUUAUGUUUUAGGAAGUGUGGUGAUGUAGUGUUGGCACCAACUUAUGGUUAUUGGGAUGAUACUGGCAGGCAUGAAUUAGUUUGUCUCGACCUUAUGAGCAAGCAAUUUAAGAAUCUUGGAAUUCAUGGACAUAGAUAUUACUAUGCUGAAUCUUAUGUUGAGAGCCUCGUCUUACUUGACAAGACCAAUGCAGUUUCUUACUGAGGAGAAGAACAGGUCGAAAAUGGGGCAGAUAACCUUCAAGACUUUUACAAUGUCUUCUCAGUAGCUGCGUAGUGCUCGCCUUGCUGUGUAGUGCUAGCCUUUCAAGUGAUUGAAAGUGUACCUUUCUGUUUGCUAGGAGAUGUUUGGGAUUUGGUAACCUUCUUAUUUAACCAUCUGUAAUUUCGAGUUUCGACUAGAAAAAGGACAUCACUUGUAAUCGAGAUUUUCUGCCGUCCCUUAAUGAUGAAUAUCCUGUCACUAAAUAUGCUCUUGGUUAGAAAUAACCAUUGUUUCCCUUCAAUUUGUUCGGUUUACACUCGUAGAAAAGUUGCUUAUUACAUUCUGCAAAGAUUUGAUGUUGUUUUGAUCCCUUUGUUAACCCCAGCUCUGUGCUUUGCAUAUGUUGGUGCCAAAUGUUGAGUGCAUUAUAUCCUUUUCUUGAUUACAAACCUUCAUCUUGAUGUCCUUUCUUGUGAAGCUUGCACCUCCGAUAGGCGAGAAAAACUUUCAUAUCUCGAGAUCG